GCUAAUAAGUCUAUUUUAUA
rnacentral:miRNA from 1 species